CAGGUGAAGUAAAAGAAAUUGUCAUUAUGAGAGCUUAUGUGGCAAAGUGACAUCACAAAAUCAUUAAAUUAAAUAAAAAUGAUGUCACCAUAAAGAGCUGUUUGGAGAUAAAGCUUCUAUGAAGGGUGCUAUUUCCCUAUUAAAGUGGAUUAGCAUUUAAAAACAUGUCAUAGACAAAUUUGGGGGUACUUCUGAAGUUAAGGAGUGCUGAAUUUGUGUUCCAAGAUUUGGGUUAUAAAAAUGUAUGCAAGUUCUGCACAUGCAACCCUUUCCAUUUUGAGGGCUGGGUUUGUGUGAACAUCUGCCAGCUCAACAGAAAGAAGAGCUCUGAUUUUACAGUGUUUAUAAAGCCAGGAGCGUUUUUCAACACAUUCCAAAGCCCCUUAAUGCUACUUCACCGGAUCAGCCUCCUGAAGAUGCAAAAACUGAGCUGUAGAGAGGAUAUGUUGCUUGCCUACAGCCACAAGACUUUCUUACAAGCAGCAGACCUGUCUCCUGCGUACUUGUUUAUUGGUUCCUUUACAUACUCUGCAUACUGUUGUUUGCACCAUUCCUCCCAAUAUUUCCAAUACAAGUAUAACGCAUCGGAGGCCAGGAAAAAUCAGUAUUUGGAUGAAGUCACACAACUCUGCUGCACAGCCAGGCACAGAAUCCAUGGCUUUUGAUGCCCUAUUGAUUAUUCUUUUCACCACACCUGCUUUAUUCCUGAUAAGAAAUUUCAUCCCAGAGAAAUGUUCAUGGCCAUCAUAAAACUGGUGAAAGAGAAAACUGGCUAGUGGGGUAGAUAUUUUCUUGAAAAUUUUCUUGAAGUGGUAUAUCUGCCUACUCUAACCAACACACACACGCACGCACGCAUGUGUGCACACACUAACAUAAGUGAUUAUGAGAUCUUGAAGAUAAAGUAAUCUCUUAUUUGUGAUCCCAGAGGAGAAACCUCAUUUUAUGCACAUAAUUAAGAUAAACUUAAAUGUUCUAGGCACAUUUUAGGGUCUCUAAAGCAUCUAGGGUACAUGUUUUACAUUCUUAGCUUGUAUUUGUACUGCAUAUUUUUAUCAUGUCUAUUUAGUAUAGGGAUGAUGACUAUGAGGACAGCAGAUAUGAAUUUAGUUUCAGACCAUACUGCAUUAAAAUGUCUGCUUAAGUUUUAUUCCAUAUGCCACUUUGGGAAACUCAAUAUUGUAACAUUGAGCACUCAAUUAUUUGUCCUUGGUUCUCAACGAUUAUACAUAGGGUGGAAUAGGUGCUGUCCGUCGAUGUAUUUAUCCACAUGCUCCUAUGUCUCACAUUUAUGUGCAUAACAGCAUGAGUUUAAACAUAUAGCAUUUUCCUUCUUUUCCUAAGAGGUAUGUAUCCAGCAGUUUAGAAGUGCCCAGGAAUUCUACCCACCAACACUCUAAUUCCACAUUAAAAAUUGCCCCACAACCAGUGAUUAAUAAAUGGCCUUGUGCUAUAAAUGAUCAAUCCCCUCACCCUUCAGUUGGAACAGUUCUGGGGCACACAGUCACAUUGAUUUGUGGGAUUCCUCAACAGAUUUAUGUUCUACUUGCCAAUAGUGGCAACUUGUAUGAUGACAUGUGCUCUAUUGGUUUUGUUUCCCUUUCUGAGUCAUUUUUCCAGUCUCCUACCAGAGUUUCCUACACUAAGCUCCA
ensembl:lncRNA